GGGCAGGGAGAGGAAAGGCCAGACAAAUGCAAUCAUUUCUCCAAAGGAUUUGAGAAGAGAUCAUUUAUUUGAAAUAUUCCUGCCAUGUUGAUGGAGCAGCUCAAUCUUUUGCCAGUGAAUCUUUAGCGUUUUGUUUUUCAUUUGUAGAUAUGGUUGAACAUAUACUUAGGACACGUAAUAACUAUGGAACUUCAUCACAAACACAGCACUGAGGACAUGUUAAGAACUUGAUGUAUACCUCCUGACCUGUUCAUCUUGUAGCUGCCUCUUGACAGCACAUGUUGGCACCUUUAGAAAGAUCUAGAAAUCCACGUGUUGUACGUAAAUCUGGGGCUGUUGUUACUGCAGAUGUACCUUCCACAACUUGAUUUUCUGUGAUGUCAAUUAUUCAGGUUAUACAAAAAGGAACUUUGGACACAGAGACAGACAUGCAUGGAAGGAAGAUGGCAUGAACACACACGGAAAGCACAGCCAUAUGGAAAUGGAGACAGAGAUUGGAACUGUACUGCCACAAGCCGAGGAAUGCCUGGAGCCACCAGAAGCUAGGAGAGAGGCAUGGAAUAAAUUCUCCUUCAUAAUCCUUAGAAGGAACCAACUCUGCCAACACUUUGACUUUGGACUUGUAGCCUCCAGAACUGAGACAAUAAUCUCCUGUUUAAGCCACCCAGCUUGAGGUAUUUUGUUAUAGCAGCCCUAGAGAAUUGACAUACUGUACUUGCAUCAAACCUAGGAACUUUCGAUGUUUACACCAAUCCUUCACUGGUUAUUUGAGAAACAAAUUUUCCGAGCUUCUAAAAUGCCCUGAACUCUAUUCUCCACUCUAUUUCCUCUGCACAGCUGUGGAUGUAUGACAGGUAAAUAUAGUCCCUGUUGGGAAGAUUCUCACUUGUUCAGAAAGGUUGAACUGUGUAAGUGAAGUGAAUUGCACGUGAAUUGUGACGUAGAUUACUUCACGUCAUGACCGGUAAAACCUUAGACCUGAAGAAUCUCCCAGAUGAAGGAAUAUUGACAGAUCUUAUAUAUGGGGAGUGUGUUGCUGUAAUAACCAAUUCAAAGCAGAAUAUUGCUUUUCUCCAAAGAAGAUUCAAAGAGGGAGUCAAUAACAUUAACCUUCACAUCAGCUAGUCCAAGAUGAAAUACUAGCUCAGACAUCGACUAAUCAAGAAUGUCUUGUCCCUUGUGUUCUUGUGUUGAGAAAUAACUUAGUUCAGUAUCUUUAAGAUUUAUUCACCUUGUAUUUGCACUGAUCACAUACAUUGAACUGCAAACUGGAGCCAAGAACUGUAUUUCUGAAGCUGAGCUGGUGAUAGACAG
ensembl:lncRNA novel transcript